UACGUAGGGUGCGAGCGUUAAUCGGAAUUACUGGGCGUAAAGGGUGCGCAGGCGGUUUGCUAAGUCAGAUGUGAAAUCCCCGGGCUCAACCUGGGAAUGGCAUUUGAGACUGGCAGGCUAGAGUGUGUCAGAGGGGGGUAGAAUUCCACGUGUAGCAGUGAAAUGCGUAGAGAUGUGGAGGAACACCGAUGGCGAAGGCAGCCCCCUGGGAUAACACUGACGCUCAUGCACGAAAGCGUGGGGAGCAAACAGG
rnacentral:rRNA from 1 species